rnacentral:rRNA from 1 species
UGGGGAAUAUUGCACAAUGGGCGCAAGCCUGAUGCAGCAACGCCGCGUGAGCGAUGAAGGUUUUCGAAUCGUAAAGCUCUGUCCUAUGGGAAGAUAAUGACGGUACCAUAGGAGGAAGCCCCGGCUAACUACGUGCCAGCAGCCGCGGUAAUACGUAGGGGGCGAGCGUUGUCCGGAAUUACUGGGCGUAAAGGGUUCGCAGGCGGCAUGGCAAGUCCGAUGUAAAAGGCGAAGGCUCAACCUUCGUAAGCAUCGGAAACUGUCAAGCUUGAGUGAAGGAGAGGCAAGUGGAAUUCCUAGUGUAGCGGUGGAAUGCGUAGAUAUUAGGAGGAAUACCGGUGGCGAAGGCGACUUGCUGGACUUCAACUGACGCUGAGGAACGAAAGCGUGGGUAGCAAACAGG